AGAGUUUGAUCAUGGCUCAGAACGAACGCUGGCGGCGUACUUAACACAUGCAAGUCGGACGAGAAAGGAAGCUUCGGUUUCUGAGUAAAGUGGCGCACGGGUGCGUAACACGUAAGUAAUCUACCCUAGACUCUGGGAUAACUCCCCGAAAGGGGGGCUAAGACUAGAUAGAGUACCUGAGGCAUAAGCUGCAGGAGGAAAACAAGCCUCUAUAUUAUGCUUGUGGUUUAGGAUGAGCUUGCGGCCCAUUAGCUAGUUGGCGGGGUAACGGCUCACCAAGGCAACGAUGGGUAGCUGGUCUGAGAGGAUGAUCAGCCACACUGGCACUGAGAUACGGGCCAGACUCCUACGGGAGGCAGCAGUGGGGAAUUUUGCGCAAUGGGCGAAAGCCUGACGCAGUAACGCCGCGUGGAGGAUGAAGGCCUUCGGGUUGUAAACUCCUGUCAGAGGGAACGACGGCUGUAGGGUAAAUAGCCUUACAUUCUAGACGGUACCCUCAAAGGAAGCCCCGGCUAAUUCCGUGCCAGCAGCCGCGGUAAUACGGAAGGGGCAAGCGUUGUUCGGAAUCAUUGGGCGUAAAGGGCGCGUAGGUGGUCCUAUGUGUCUACCGUGAAAGCUCACGGCUCAACCGUGUCGGGUCGGUGGAAACUGUAGGACUUGAGGCUGGGAGGGGCUGGUGGAAUUCCCUGUGUAGCGGUGAAAUGCGUAGAGAUGGGGGAGAACACUCGUGGCGAAAGGCGGCCAGCUGGACCAGUCCUGACACUGAGGCGCGACAGCGUGGGGAGCAAACAGGAUUAGAUACCCUGGUAGUCCACGCCGUAAACGAUGGGCACUAGGUGCCCGGCGGUAUUAAUCCCGUCGGUGCCGGCGCUAACGCAGUAAGUGCCCCGCCUGGGGAGUACGGUCGCAAGGCUGAAACUUAAAUGAAUUGACGG
rnacentral:rRNA from 1 species